UCAGUCGGUUAAGUGCCUGACUUUACUCUGGUCACGAUCUUGCACUUCAUGGGUUUGAGCCCCGCCUCAGGCUCUGUGCUGGCAGCUCAGAGCCUGAAGCCUACUCUGGAUUCUGUGCCUCCCUUUCUGUGCCCCUCACCCACUCACACUCUGUCUUUCUCUCUCUCAAAAAUAAACAUUAAAAAAAGGGGGGAGGGGGCACCUGCUGCCGUGGAGUGUAUCAAACACCCAGAAAAGGAAGAAGCAGCAGAGGGUUGACAGGUAGGAUGGAAAGGAACAUGGUAUAAUGGCUUUGAGACCUGGCUCGGGUUUCUGGGCCUGGCUUUCCCUCUUAUUAGCUGUGUCACUUGGGAAAGACCCUUAACCUUCCUAAGCUUCAGUUUCCUUAUUUUCAAAAUGCAGAUAUUCAUAGUACCUUAGUACUUUACAGGAUCACAUAAGGAUUAAAUGAGAUGAUAUAUGUAAAGCACUUAGGUUAACUGCCUGGACCAUGCCUAUUUUUUGCAGGGCCUGGUACCUAGAAAUUGCUCAGAAUAUUAUAAAAAUUACUGAGUAGGAUGACCCUACCCACUUGUGAAGGCCAGCUCUACAGUGGCAUUCAAUGCUAUCCAAAGGAUAUUGACAUCUUGGACAUGGUCCACGUUGAAGGUCUCACUAGCCAGAUUGUGCAUUGCUGCCAUUAGGGACUGCCAAGACUGGCCUGGAGACCUCAUGAUGCACCGAGACUGGGCCUGCUGCUAUUCCAGUGAAAUCAGGUUCUGUCAUAACAGGUUUUCCUUGGGAGAAAAGAGCCAUGGUCAACUAAGUUUGGGACACAGUGAGAUUUUGAGAGUCAGAAGCAUAAAUGGCAAUAAGGACUCUGAGAGCAAGAGAAAUGUGAGCUAUAACUUCACUGGGGCAGCAAGAGACCAUAAUUAUCACACGGACAGCAAGAUACUAAGGAGUUGACCCUGCAUACUGCAUCAUCCAGGAUCUUUUUGCCCUCUGGCUUCCAGCAUGGUUCAGUCGACAAGAGGUAACCUCUCCCCACCGCCGCAAUGCCAAGAGCCUAAUGGUAGCUCCCUCUAUAACUACAGCUUCUGAUGGGCAGCAGCCUUCCAUAGCACUGGCUCAUGCCAGUCUCCCAAAAUAUUGCUGCCUCCCCUCACCUAAGAGUGGUAACAGCUUCUGGAUGCCUGGCGCCUCUCAUCACUUGUUGGUUUCCUCAACUGCAUCCAUACUUCUAGAAAUAGUCCAUUAAAUUCUCAUCAGAAUCCAAUAGGAGAAUGUACAGUAUUCUGUUUCUGGCCAGGCCCCUGACUGAUAAAAUAAAUAUUUAUAAUAAGGUAGAGAGGGAGGGCAUAGAGUCCCAGUUUUGAGCCCCUACUAUAGGGCAAGCACAGGCACUGUUUAUAAAGAUAUUCAAUAAAUGCUGAUAAAUCUGAACAAAGGGGUAUGAGAGAGGAUUAAAAAAAAACAGAUGUCACAAGAAUUUGAGACACAGGAA